rnacentral:lncRNA from 1 species
UUCCUUUUCUCCUCUCCCCUGUCCCGCUGGAAGCCCCCGGCUGCAGGACUGAGCGGGGGCUGCUGCCACUGAACAAAGGCUGUGGGGUGGGCCCCUGGCCCUGGCUCCAGCUGCAGCAUGACCAACUGCACACAGCUCUGGAGGCUCCGCUCUGCCUGAGGCUGCUGGCAUCAUUACCCUGCAGCUGCUGCCUUCUGCUGCCCCACAGCCUGUCCCUCCUGAGCUACUGUGCUGUCAGCAUCGUCCAGAAAGGCAGUGGUUGUGUUUCCUGUGGGGCAGACCCUGAGGACAUCUGCAGAGCAGGGUUUGGGGGAGCAGAGCCUGGCAAGGACCUGCCUCAUGUCCCCUUCACAGCCUCAGCCCUCGGCUCCAGAGGACCAGAGCUCCUGCAUGGGGACAGCCCCAGCCCCCAGCCCUUGGAGCAGGGGCUCUGUCACUUUGUGCUGGGCUGUCACCUGUGUGUGCCAGCUCCCACAGGGCUGCUCCAGACAGGGCUAAGGGAGCUCAGCACUGCAGGGAAUGGGAAUGAGGGGAAGAAAGGCAGUGGAGUUAGCCUGAGAUGA